GUGUAUAUAAGAGCAACUAUGUAGUUGUAGUUGUUAGUUGAUAAUAAAGUGAUAGAACUAGAGUCUAAAGCAGACGUUACAUGGUGUCAGGAGUUAUGUCGGAGUUAUAUGCGAAACUCACGUUGUUCGAAACUCAUGAGUGAAUAGUAUGGCUGAAUAACAUACAAGUCUGUCUGAAGAACCAGGGCAAGCAGCAAUUGCCCGAGGCAUUC